UACAGAGGGUACAAGCGUUGUUCGGAAUUAUUGGGCGUAAAGCGCGUGUAGGCGGCUUUGCAAGUCGGGUGUGAAAGCCCGGGGCUCAACCCCGGAAUUGCCUUUGAGACUGCAUCGCUAGAAUUGUGGAGAGGUAAGUGGAAUUCCGAGUGUAGAGGUGAAAUUCGUAGAUAUUCGGAAGAACACCAGUGGCGAAGGCGACUUACUGGACACAUAUUGACGCUGAGGUGCGAAAGCGUGGGGAGCAAACAGG
rnacentral:rRNA from 1 species